AGAGUUUGAUCCUGGCUCAGAUUGAACGCUGGCGGCAGGCCUAACACAUGCAAGUCGAGCGGCAGCGGGAAAGUAGCUUGCUACUUUUGCCGGCGAGCGGCGGACGGGUGAGUAAUGCCUGGGAAAUUGCCCAGUCGAGGGGGAUAACAGUUGGAAACGACUGCUAAUACCGCAUACGCCCUGAGGGGGAAAGGNGGGGAUCUUCGGACCUGCCG
rnacentral:rRNA from 1 species